rnacentral:tRNA from 1 species
GCGGACGUGGCGUAAUCGGUAAACGCAAUAGACUGAGGCUCUAUGCUCGUAAGAGCGUGUGGGUUCAAGUCCCACCGUCCGCA